rnacentral:rRNA from 1 species
GACGAACGCUGGCGGCGUGCUUAACACAUGCAAGUCGAACGGAAAGGCCCUGCUUUUGUGGGGUUCUCGAUUGGCGAACGGGUGAGUAACACGUGAGUAACCUGCCCUUGACUUUGGUAUAACUUCAGGAAACUGGGGCUAAUACCGUAUAGGAUCUCCUGCUGCAUGGUGGGGGUUGGAAAGUUUCGGCGGUUGGGGAUGGACUCGCGGCUUAUCAGCUUGUUGGUUGGGUAGUGGCUUACCAAGGCUUUGACGGGUAGCCGGCCUGGGAGGGUGACCGGCCACAUUGGGACUGAGAUACGGAGCAGACUCCUACGGGAGGCAGCAGUGGGGAAUAUUGCACAAUGGGCGGAAGCCUGAUGCAGAAACGCCGCGUGCGGGAUGCCGGCCUUCGGGUUGUAAACCGCUUUAGCCUGUGACGCAGCGUGAGUGACGGUAAUGGGUAAAGAAGCACCGGCUAACUACGUG